GGGUUUGAUUCAGAGGCUUGUGUUUGGGGCUGGGACAUGUACAUUUCUACGAAGUUUCUAGGUCAAGCCUGGCACUAGUCUCAGCACCCCGAUACGGUGGUGAGAACCACUGGGCGUGAGCCCGGUAGAGAGCAGAGGGCAGCCUGUAGGUGUUAGGAGCCAGACGAGAAGAGUCACUGUGAUGAGCAGCCACCGGUGAGUGACCCAGGGAUCUGCAGAGAUGACUCACAGAACACGAUGCUCUGGGGGAAAGAAACGGGGCUGGUGACAGAACCAUCACAAAUAGACACAGGCGUGGUAGGUCACUGCCUGAUUUCCAGGCCUGAGUCAGCUCUCAGACCUGAUCCCGUCGACAGCCGGCAGGACUUCACCACCUCCAAGAUGGAGAAGUACAUGUGAUCUCCAGGGCCUUCCGCAAAGGGAGGAUAGCCAUUCACACAGGCAAAAGGGGAAUAGCCACUUCUUUCCAGAGUGGCUGGGUGCCCACGACCAGGUUCAAACUGACUCUGACACUUAGGGGUGCAAAGAAUCCUCCUGACUCUCCUGUAAGAGGAGGGACGUACCAGAAUUAUGUUCUAAACAGUACCUUGGCCCAGGACACAGUGACUUCAGAGGAGCAAUCUGGGACUGAGUCACAUGUUUGAGGGUCACUGGUAAACGGUUGGUAUUCAAAGCCACGAGAUUAGAGCAUCCAAGGGUAGACAGAGACUAGAAGUCUCGAUGAGUGACUGGCAGUCUUGCAGAGAGGAGGAAACACAUAUUCGAGGCAGCGUUGAGGAAAUCCGACAUCCUCCUGAAGCCUCCCAUGCCCCCUGGAGCCCAAGUCCCCAAGGAAAGGGGCUGUGUCUCCCUCCGUCCUGUGUCUGCAGUGCCCAGCCCUGUCCUUGGCACAGAGGAGGGACUCAGGAGCUGCUUCUGAAUUAUCCCACCAUGGAAAAUAUGUUCAGGGCAGUAACAGAAGACAUGCUGUUCUUUGAUGGAAGAUUCUUCUUUUUUUAGUUCUUAAGAUGAAAUAUGAG
rnacentral:lncRNA from 1 species